CAGCAGCCACGGUAAUACGGAGGAUCCAGGCGUUAUCCGGAUUUAUUGGGUUUAAAGGGUGCGUAGGUGGCCUGUUAAGUCAGGGGUGAAAGACGGUAGCUUAACUAUCGCAGUGCCCUUGAUACUGAUGGGCUUGAAUGAACUAGAGGUAGGCGGAAUGUGACAAGUAGCGGUGAAAUGCAUAGAUAUGUCACAGAACACCAAUUGCGAAGGCAGCUUACUAUGGUUUUAUUGACACUGAGGCACGAAAGCGUGGGGAUCAAACAGGAUUAGAUACCCCCGUAGUCCCUGUCUCUUAUAC
rnacentral:rRNA from 1 species